UUUCCCCCAUUUUUUUUCAUUUCCUUUUAGGUUUGUAGAGCCCUUAAUUUCACAAUGUUUCAAAACAGUGAGCAAACCUUAAUCUGAGAGAGAGAAGAUAGAGGGUUUGAAGAGAGACUGGGGUUGAAGGGGAAGGGUUUCAGUCAGCGGCGAGACUAGUUCAGCAGCAGCGAGACUAGUUCGGCGGCGAGAUGGUACGCUUCUUUUGACUCUCUCAUUCCAGUCGGUUCCUCUAUCAACUGGGUUGAAAUGGUUCCUCUAUAUCUCUAUGUGACUGUGUAUCCUUGGAACAACAAUGAUGUAGUUUUAUAAUCCGAACAGAUCUUAAACCCUAUAAAGCUUUUGACUUGAUACAUUGUUCAAGAUGUAGAAUUAAUUGGACUCGUGAUGAUGGAAUUUUGCUGCUUGAGGUCAACGGGAUGCUACGUGCAGGAGGAUACUUUACUUGGGCAGCACAGCCUGUUUAUAAGCAUGAAUUAGCCCUUGAAGAGCAGUGGGAAGAGAUGAUUAAUCUUACAAGCUGCCUUUGUUGGAAUCUUGUGAAAGAGGGGUAUAUUACAAUUUGGCAGAAGCCCUUGAACAACAGCUGCUACUUAAGUCGUGAGGCAGGAACGUGACCUCCACUGUGUGAUUCAGAUGAUGAUCCAGACAGUGUUUGGUAUAUUAACUAUCCUCUUUCUGGUAUAUUUUGGUAAUGCAAAUAGUACAUUAAACUGCCUUGAAUGGUUAAAGUUUUAGAUCUCUAUUUGACAACUGCUAUGUCAGUAAGGCUUCUGAAGCAUAUUCAGUAGUAUGACAUGUUAACUUCAUGCAUUGUAGGCCUACAGCUACUGUAAUUUAUGUGUAACCAUUGACAUGAAAUAUUGACAAGCUUUAUGUUUAGACCAUCAGCAGUAAAAAAUAGGCCUGUAAACCCUAUUGACUUUAAGCACUUGGCCUAGUAAUGACAUGUACCCUAGUAAUGACUAUAAAGCCUAGUAAUGACAUGGUUCCCUGUGACUUUUUCUCAUCCUGCCUUAACAUGUCUUUUGGUGCUGUGGUCUUAUCAUGUGAUGCAUCAACCACUUUAUCUCCCUGGUUAAGAAUUUGAAAAGUAAAAAAUGGUUUCUUUUUUUUUAAU